ACGGAAGGCAGCAGUGGGGAAUAUUGGACAAUGGGGGGAACCCUGAUCCAGCGACGCCGCGUGAGUGAAGAAGUAUUUCGGUAUGUAAAGCUCUAUCAGCAAGGAAGAAAAUGACGGUACUUGACUAAGAAGUUCCGGCUAAAUACGUGCCAGCAGCCGCGGUAAUACGUAUGGAGCAAGCGUUAUCCGGAUUUACUGGGUGUAAAGGGAGCGUAGACGGCAAAGCAAGUCUGAAGUGAAAUGCGGGGGCUUAACCCCUGAACUGCUUUGGAAACUGUUUAGCUAGAGUGCAGGAGAGGUAAGCGGAAUUCCUAGUGUAGCGGUGAAAUGCGUAGAUAUUAGGAGGAACACCAGUGGCGAAGGCGGCUUACUGGACUGUAACUGACGUUGAGGCUCGAAAGCGUGGGGAGCAAACAGGAUUAGAUACCCUGGUA
rnacentral:rRNA from 1 species